ensembl:lncRNA
AGAACAUUAACACAUCUCUACUUUGGUGCAUUUAACAUUAUACACACUCUACGAAAUAAUGAAGACUUUAAAAGCAAAGUUUAGGAAGACUGAGACUCCCAGUGCACAAAGGGAACAAGUUAGGAGUACUUUGCCCCCUACAACCCCAACCCUGCCUGGGGGGACCACAACUCACAAGAGAAAAGCACCUCCUCCUCCAAAGUCUCCUAGACAGGGUACACAGUCUUCCCCAAACCUGCAUCAUGGCCCUACCCAAUGCUUAGUGCCAGACAACUCUGCUUCUCCUUCCCCAGCCCCUAAGACUCAACACUCCUUUCCAGACAACUUUAGGACGAGGAAGUGUUUGAGGAGAUCCGCAGGCUACGGCUAGAAAGGGGACAUCUACUACAGAAGAUUAAGGCUCUGGAGCAGCAACAGAACAGCACCACCGCUGCACUGGAGGAGCUGAGCUCACUAAGAGAGUGUUUGAGAGAGGCAGAGGCAGAGCGUGAUUGCCUGGAAGUAGUGCUGAAGGAGCUGGGAGGUGUUCAGCUCAGCAGUACAACCUGCAGCAUUAGUAGGGCUACAGAUGAUAUGCUGGAUUUCCCUGGAACAAAUAGGCUGCUGUCCAGGCGGUCACAAUGCACAGAUGCGGAGCUGCCUCCUGCCCAAGCAGAGAAGUCAUCUUGGGAGCAAAUGAACAGUGUGGAGCAGCUUUGCAGGCAGGUGGAGGAGCUGACUGCACAGAAUGCUGAACUGGUUCUCAAAGUACAGAUGCUUGAGAUGUUUGAAAAGGAUGACACAGACUUUCAUAGCUCUGGUCUUGACUUUGUGCCCAUGACUGUCUAUGAUUCCUUAAAGAGAGAGUUUGAAAAGCUGCAGCAGCAAUACACCAGAGCUACUAAAAGCUCAAACGCUGCAGAGGACCCUGGGUCUGAGAACAAUCCUGAAGACAUAGGUGCGGUGGAAUCCAAGGAGGACGAGGAGGAGGGUUUAGCUAGAGAAAUAGUGAAGAAGAAGGGAAAACAGAAAAGCCUAGAGCAACAGCUAGCCUGUGCCCAUGCUGAGUUGGAGGAGCUGAGAAAAGAGAUGCAGUUGGGUAUUGAUUCUGUGACUGCAGGUUUAGCAGUUACCCAAUCCAAAGCUGAAGAGGAGGGGCUGAGCUUAGACAUACAGAAGUUGACAGCCCGGGUGCAGGAACUGGAGGCAGAGCUGGCAAACAAAGAGGUGGCGUGGAAGGAAGGGAUGAAUGAGAGUGACAUAAUCCAACAGUUGAAACAAAAGGUGGAAGAGUUAGAGGAAGCUCUACAGGUGAAGGAGAAAGAGGCACAGGAUAUGAACGAGUCAGUGGAGAGAUCAAAACAACGAAUAAAGGAGUUAGAGGUGGCCCUGGAGCAGGGCAUUGGGGCAAGGUGUUUGGCAGAAGGCGAGGAAGAGUCACUGAAUAAAUUACAGGUGCGUGUAGCAGAGCUAGAAACUGAGCUAAGUAAGAGUAUUCCCCGUGAGCAGCUGGAUGAGGUGCAGGUCACCCUGAGUCUCCAGCUGGAGCAGCUAGCUCGAGAACGUUCUGAGAUUGCCCUCCGACUCAAUCAAGCUAUGCUAGACCUGGAGAGACUUUGCCCUCCACCUCACACUGACAAAGAUGACAGCGACGAAGAUGAAGAGGAGCAGUCUGAGAGCUACAAGUCAUCUGGUGCUUUGGAGUUGCAUGGUGGAAGAACAUUGAGGACAGUUCAAGAAGAGCUGGAGGUGACAGACAUGGAAGCAC